rnacentral:rRNA from 1 species
UACGUAGGGUGCAAGCGUUAAUCGGAAUUACUGGGCGUAAAGCGUGCGCAGGCGGUUUUGUAAGUCUGUCGUGAAAUCCCCGGGCUCAACCUGGGAAUUGCGAUGGAGACUGCAAGGCUAAAAUCUGGCAGAGGGGGGGUAGAAUUCCACGUGUAGCAGUGAAAUGCGUAGAUAUGUGGAGGAAUACCGAUGGCGAAGGCAGCCCCCUGGGACGGUAUUGACGCUGAGACGCGAAAGCGUGGGGAGCAAACAGGG